rnacentral:misc_RNA from 1 species
AGAGACGAGUCCCAUAAAUGAUAAAUUAGGUACAGAGAAGCAUUAAUUAUUUUUCCCUCUCUGUUUCUCUCUCUAGAAACCAAAAACUCUGUUUCUGUUACAACCGGAUAAACUCUUGAUAUUUUCUCUCCUUGCUCUGUUUGCUUCUUUGUGCUUUUGUUUCUUUCUUGGAUUCAGCACUGCUUUUCUCUUUCCCGGAAACUCGAUUGCUUUUAUCAUUUUCCGUUAGAAAGAAAAAAUCUCGAUUCUCACGCAACCAUUUCCACUAACCUUCAUAUCUUUUCCACUGGAUAUAUGGGUUUCUGUUGAAAACGAAGAGAUUGAUUUUUCUCUCAUCAUUUCCUCAUUUUCUUUCAUUUUUUUCCUCAGCUUUUUCUUUCCUUUGAAAAUUUGCGUUAAAUUAGGGAGGCUUGCUGGGUUAUUUUUCUUUCUUUUUUCCCUUGAUUGAACGCGAUUUUCGUUGUGGGAUUUUGAUUUAACUUGAAGAAUUAACGUUGUAUUUUGUGGCGUCUUAAGAGAAGGGGUUUCUUGGAUUUUGAACGACGCAGAGUCAUAGGCUAUUGAGUUUUCUUUAAGCAAAAACAGAAACACAUUAGAAGAAACAGAACAUCCCAAAUUAAAGCAAUCACUUUCUCGUACAAACUUUCCCAAACGAAAAUGAUGCCGGAAAUUUGUGUUUCCGGUGUCGUUGGUUUUUGACAACGCAACUAUUUAUCAGCCAAGACUUUCUUUUGAAACUGAGGAAAAGAGAGAUAGAUUUGGAGUUUUAUUUUUUAUUUUUAUUUUUUAUUUU